rnacentral:rRNA from 1 species
GACGAACGCUGGCGGCGUGCUUAACACAUGCAAGUCGAACGGAAAGGCCCUGCUUUUGUGGGGUGCUCGAGUGGCGAACGGGUGAGUAACACGUGAGUAACCUGCCCUUGACUUUGGGAUAACUUCAGGAAACUGGGGCUAAUACCGGAUAGGAGCUCCUGCUGCAUGGUGGGGGUUGGAAAGUUUCGGCGGUUGGGGAUGGACUGGCGGCUUAUCGGCUUGUUGGUUGGGUAGUGGCUUACCAAGGCUUUGACGGGUAGCCGGCCUGGGAGGGUGACCGGCCACAUUGGGCCUGAGAUACGGCCCAGACUCCUACGGGAGGCAGCAGUGGGGAAUAUUGCACAAUGGGCGGAAGCCUGAUGCAGCAACGCCGCGUGCGGGAUGACGGCCUUCGGGUUGUAAACCGCUUUCGCCUGUGACGAAGCGUGAGUGACGGUAAUGGGUAAAGAAGCACCGGCUAACUACGUG